rnacentral:antisense_RNA from 1 species
CUUGACGGAGCCGAGCCACAGGGGCUGGUCCGCGGGCCGGUCCUGACCAUAGGUGGCCAGCAGGGCCUGCGCCUC